AACGAACGCUGACGGCAGGCUUAACACAUGCAAGUCGAACGGUGUAGCAAUACACAGUGGCAGACGGGUGAGGAACACGUGGGAACAUCCCUUUCGGUUCGGAAUAACGUUGGGAAACUGACGCUAAUACCGGAUACGUCCUUCGGGAGAAAGAUUUAUUGCCGAGAGAUUGGCCCGCGUCUGAUUAGCUAGUUGGUGAGGUAACGGCUCACCAAGGCUACGAUCAGUAGCUGAUCUGAGAGGAUGAUCAGCCACAUUGGGACUGAGACACGGCCCAAACUCCUACGGGAGGCAGCAGUGGGGAAUAUUGGACAAUGGGCGCAAGCCUGAUCCAGCCAUGCCGCGUGAGUGAUGAAGGCCUUCGGGUUGUAAAGCUCUUUUAUCCGGGAAGAUAAUGACUGUACCGGAAGAAUAAGCCCCGGCAAACUUCGUGCCAGCCGCCGCCGUAAAAC
rnacentral:rRNA from 1 species